rnacentral:lncRNA from 10 species
AACUGAAGGGCACUGACUGGGUCACUGGUGAAGUUCCCCGCAGGAACUGAGUCAGACCCCAUCUCAGGGCCCUGCACAAGAUAGGUGCCUGCUCUAAGGCGUGGACCCUCGCCACAGCCCUGGCCCGUCUUGACGGGCGAGGGUUACUGUACUUGUCCCAACCGUACAGAUGAGAAAGCUGAGACUCAGGGCCAGCAACCCGGGUCCCAGCGGAGCGCCCGGCACACGCCGACACUUCAGCACCAGUGGCGGUGGCCACCACUGUGGGCGGAGAUGGCUGCGACGCGUGCGCAGUCUAGUGCUUUUUUCCAGAUCUCGAUCCCAAACUCCCUCCUGCCAGAAUCUGGACCCGAAUCCACCCAUUGCCCGUUUUCCGCUGCCGCUGGAGAGAAUCUCUGAGGUCCCCAGGAGAGCCUGCCUGCACGGAAGAGACGCCUCCUCGAUUAAAUGCUGUUUUCCAUGACCGUCUCUGUUCUUCCCAUACGGGAAUGGCAGGCAUUCAGAUCUCCAAGAAUAGAGGAUUAGGAGAGACUCCACCACCUAUGUCCUCACAGUUAAUUAUCGAUUUGUGUCAGUUGCCCAUUUUCUCACUUCCUGUUUGUGUGUCAAGGGGUAUUAAUAAAUCUUUGCCUAUUUAAA